CUCAGGAUGAACGCUAGCGGCAGGCUUAACACAUGCAAGUCGAGGGGCAGCAUGAGACGGAGAUUCGUCGAAGUCUUGAUGGCGACCGGCGCAAGGGUGCGUAACGCGUGAGCAACUUGCCCGUUUCUGGGGAAUAACCGGUGGAAACGCCGACUAAUACCCCAUAGUAUUGAGUUUAGGCAUCUUUACUCAAUUAAAGAAAUUCGGAAACGGAUAGGCUCGCGUGACAUUAGCUAGAUGGCGGGGUAACGGCCCACCAUGGCGACGAUGUCUAGGGGUUCUGAGAGGAAGGUCCCCCACACUGGAACUGAGACACGGUCCAGACUCCUACGGGAGGCAGCAGUGAGGAAUAUUGGUCAAUGGUCUGACGACUGAACCAGCCAUGCCGCGUGAAGGUCACGGCCCUAUGGGUCUUAAACUUCUUUUGUUAGGGAGCAAUAAGUCUCACGUGUGGGAUGAUGAGAGUACCUAACGAAUAAGCAUCGGCUAACUCCGUG
rnacentral:rRNA from 1 species